rnacentral:rRNA from 1 species
AGCAGCCGCGGUAAUUCCAGCUCCAAUAGCGUAUAUUAAAGUUGCUGCAGUUAAAAAGCUCGUAGUUGAAUUUCGGGACCAUCAUGUCGGUCGUGCCUCGGUACGUACUGGCAUUGUUGGUUUCUCCCUUCUGACGAAGCAUGAUGCCAUUAAUUUGGUGUCGUGGGGAAUCAGGACUGUUACUUUGAAAAAAUUAGAGUGUUUAAAGCAAGCAUUAGCUUGAAUACAUUAGCAUGGAAUAAUGAAAUAGGACGUUUGAUCCUAUUUCGUUGGUUUCUAGGAUCGACGUAAUGAUUAAUAGGGAUAGUUGGGGGCAUUAGUAUUCAAUUGUCAGAGGUGAAAUUCUUGGAUUUAUUGAAGACUAACUACUGCGAAAGCAUUUGCCAAGGAUGUUUUCAUUAAUCAAGAACGAAAGUUAGGGGAUCGAAGACGAUCAGAUACCGUCGUAGUCUUAACCAUAAACUAUGCCGACUAGGGAUCGGAUGAUGUUAAUUUUUUAAUGACUCAUUCGGCGCCUUACG